AUUGAACGCUGGCGGCAGGCCUAACACAUGCAAGUCGGGCGGUAGCACAGAAGAGCUUGCUCUUUGGGUGACGAGCGGCGGACGGGUGAGUAAUGUCUGGGAAACUGCCUGAUGGAGGGGGAUAACUACUGGAAACGGUAGCUAAUACCGCAUAACCUCGCAAGAGCAAAGAGGGGGACCUUCGGGCCUCUCGCCAUCAGAUGUGCCCAGAUGGGAUUAGCUAGUAGGUGAGGUAAUGGCUCACCUAGGCGACGAUCCCUAGCUGGUCUGAGAGGAUGACCAGCCACACUGGAACUGCGGCACGGUCCAGACUCCUACGGGAGGCAGCAGUGGGGAAUAUUGCACAAUGGGCGCAAGCCUGAUGCAGCCAUGCCGCGUGUGUGAAGAAGGCCUUCGGGUUGUAAAGCACUUUCAGCGGGGAGGAAGGCGGUAAGGUUAAUAACCUUAUCGAUUGACGUUACCCGCAGAAGAAGCACCGGCUAACUCCGUGCCAGCCGCCGCGGUAA
rnacentral:rRNA from 1 species